rnacentral:rRNA from 1 species
UUCCGGUUGAUCCUGCCGGACCUGACUGCUAUCGGAUUGAUACUAAGCCAUGCGAGUCAUUGUAGUAAUACAAGGCAGACGGCUCAGUAACGCGUAGUCAACCUACCCUAUGGACGGGGAUAACCUCGGGAAACUGAGAAUAAUACCCGAUAGAACAUUAUACCUGGAAUGGUUUAUGUUUCAAAUAAUUUAUUGCCGUAGGAUGGGACUGCGGCCUAUCAGUUUGUUGGUGAGGUAAUGGCCCACCAAGACUAUUACAGGUACGGGCUCUGAGAGGAGUAGCCCGGAGAUGGGUACUGAGACACGGACCCAGGCCCUAUGGGGCGCAGCAGGCGAGAAAACUUUGCAAUGUGCGAAAGCACGACAAGGUUAAUCCGAGUGGUUUCUGCUAAAGGAACCUUUUGUCAGUCCUAGAAACACUGAUGAAUAAGGGGUGGGCAAGUUCUGGUGUCAGCCGCCGCGGUAAAACCAGCACCUCAAGUGGUCAGGAUGAUUAUUGGGCCUAAAGCAUCCGUAGCCUGCUUUGUUAGUUUUCGGUUAAAUCCAUACGCUUAACGUAUGGGCUGCCGGGAAUACUGCAAAGCUAGGGAGUGGGAGAGGUAGACGGUACUCGGUAGGAAGGGGUAAAAUCCUUUGAUCUAUUGAUGACCACCUGUGGCGAAGGCGGUCUACCAGAACACGUCCGACGGUGAGGGAUGAAAGCUGGGGGAGCAAACCGGAUUAGAUACCCGGGUAGUCCCAGCUGUAAACUAUGCAAACUCGGUGAUGCAUUGGCUUGAUGCCAAUGCAGUGCCGCACGGAAGCCGUUAAGUUUGCCGCCUGGGAAGUACGUACGCAAGUAUGAAACUUAAAGGAAUUGGCGGGGGAGCACCACAAGGGUGAAGCCUGCGGUUCAAUUGGGAUUCAACGCCGGGA